UACGAAGGGGGCUAGCGUUGCUCGGAAUCACUGGGCGUAAAGGGCGCGUAGGCGGCCAUUCAAGUCAGGGGUGAAAGCCUGUGGCUCAACCACAGAAUUGCCUUUGAUACUGUUUGGCUAGAGACCGGAAGAGGUAAGUGGAACUGCGAGUGUAGAGGUGAAAUUCGUAGAUAUCGAGAAGAACACCGGUGGCGAAGGCGGCCAUCUGGACGGUGACUGACGCUGAGACGCGAAAGCGUGGGGAGCAAACAGG
rnacentral:rRNA from 1 species